UCCUGGCCAGAAAAGUGCUGGUGGCUGCCAUGCUCAGGGCCGGUGCCUGCCAGUGAAUCGGCGACAUCACCCAAAGGCUGCCUGGGUUUCGUGGUUUCCCUUUCUAAAGAAUUGCAGAAUUCUUUAAAAAGACGGAAAGAAGUGUGAAAUGCUGCCAGUUUCCAGAUGGAGCACGCGGGAGUGGCUGCAGACCCCACAGUGCACAAACAAGUAAUUUUUAACAAACAAAUCAUGCUGUGACCGAGAACAACCUCUUCAAUGUGAAAUCUCCCUAAAAGACAGAGGUUUUUGCAAGCACCUCAGAUAUUUCCCAAGCUGUGAGACUCAUCAGAUCUAGUCUGCUCAUUCAGAGCUAUGUGGUUUUUCCAGUGAACCUGACAAGUUUUAACAUGACUUGAACGAAGUACGAGGGAAGAGAACAUUUAUUCUGUUCAUAUAGUGAAGAGAGCUCAAGUUUGCUUUCCCACACUGAAAGAGGUGAAAGGGAAUAUAGUACAAACCCUUUUAAAGCAAAUUCAGAUAUUGUAGUUACUGAAUCUUACUUUAUGUGAGUUAAGCUCUGUCAGGAUGUGAAUUACUGAAGCAAUGGACCCACCUGCACUCUGAGUCGUAUCUUAGAAGGAAGGAUUAGUAGAAACCGAACUUUUUUUGCCACCAUGAAUACUAUGUAUGAGUGAAUAAAAGCCAAGGGUGAGAAGGUGCUAGCAGACUCACUGAACAAGUUCUCGAAUGCUUUUUGGAUGGUCAGAGCUCACUUACCUGUCACCAUCGUCGCCUUCCACACGUCUCGGAGCUGCAUCCCCAAAGUGCCUCAGACUCCUGCAGAACACGUCCUGGAGCUACAGAGGACGUGAUGGGUUGGAACCCAGUGCCCUGGCAUCCCUGAGCAGGCUCCAACACAGACGUGCUGCUGGCUGCUCCCAGGCUGAGCAGGUCAGGACGAGCUGACACACGAAACACUGAAAUGUGGGGAGCUUGUCGUAAAAACAGCGCAGAAGAAAUGCGAAGGUCUGAUGUAAAAGAACAGCUGAAGGCAGUGGUGGUGGCUCCAGGGUGCUCGCACUUCAUCUGCAGGGCUAUUUCUAAAGAAGUCAGUGAAGUUCUGGAUGCUCCUCGUGGAU